GUGAAUGAUGAUAUCUGCACUGGGCUCUGAGCAGUUUUCUACUGCAUUUUGAUGCAUACGUGUGGCCUAGAAAACCAUGUCUGACAC
rfam:Lupinus angustifolius cultivar Tanjil contig_23175, whole genome shotgun sequence.